ACUGGAGUUUGAUCCUGGCUCAGGAUGAACGCUGGCGGAAUGCUUUACACAUGCAAGUCGAACGGUAGAGGGGGCAACCCCUUGAGAGUGGCGAACGGGUGAGUAAUAUAUCGGAACGUGCCCAGUCGUGGGGGAUAACGUAGCGAAAGUUACGCUAAUACCGCAUACGAUCUAUGGAUGAAAGCGGGGGAUCGCAAGACCUCGCGCGACUGGAGCGGCCGAUAUCAGAUUAGGUAGUUGGUAGGGUAAAGGCCCACCAAGGCGACGAUCUGUAGCUGGUCUGAGAGGACGACCAGCCACACUGGAACUGAGACACGGUCCAGACUCCUACGGGAGCAGCAGUGGGGAAUUUGGACAAUGGGCAAAGCCUGAUCCAGCAAUGCCCGCGUGCAGGAUGAAGGCCUUCGGUUGUAAACUGC
rnacentral:rRNA from 1 species